rnacentral:misc_RNA from 1 species
GAAAUGCGAUAAGUAGUGUGAAUUGCAGAAUUCAGUGAAUCAUCGAAUCUUUGAACGCACAUUGCGCCCCUUGGUAUUCCAUGGGGCAUGCCUGUUCGAGCGUCAUUUGUACCCUCAAGCUCUGCUUGGUGUUGGGUGUUUGUCCCCGUCUCCGCGCGUGGACUCGCCCCAAAGUGAUUGGCAGCCGGCGUACUGGUCCCGGAGCGCAGCACAUGUCGCGCAAACGAGUGCCUUGGUACGGCGGCGUCCAUAAGCCCCUCUCUCACGCUCUUGACCUCGGAUCAGGUAGGGAUCACCGCUGAACUCAAGC